rnacentral:ribozyme from 1 species
UACCCAGCAACUCCUAUCCCUACCUCCGCGUGGCAUCGGCCGGACUACUAGCAACCUUAGGGAAGAUCGGGUAACCAAACCCGAUGGGAGCUUUGGUCGUAGGCUGACAGGGUAGG